AGGAUGAACGCUGGCGGCGUGCUUAACACAUGCAAGUCGAACGAUGAUCUCCAGCUUGCUGGGGGGGAUUAGUGGCGAACGGGUGAGUAACACGUGAGUAACCUGCCCUUGACUCUGGGAUAAGCCUGGGAAACUGGGUCUAAUACUGGAUAUGACCUAUCACCGCAUGUGUGUGGGUGGAAGUUUUGGUGGUUUUGGAUGGACUCGCGCCUAUCAGUCGUUGUUGGUGGGGUAAGUGGCCUACCGAAGGCGACGGACGGGUAGGCCGGACCUGAGACGGGUGGACGGCCACGACUGGGGACUGGAGACACCGGCCCACGACCGUCCUACGGGGAGGCCG
rnacentral:rRNA from 1 species